rnacentral:rRNA from 1 species
GGAAUAUUGGGCAGUGGGUGAGAGCCUGACCCAGCCAUGCCGCGUGCAGGAGGACGGCCCUCAGGGUUGUAAACUGCUUUUCUACGGGAAGAAAGAGGUCUUGCGAGACCAGUUGACGGUACCGUAGGAACAAGCACCGGCUAACUCCGUGCCAGCAGCCGCGGUAAUACGGAGGGCGCAAGCGUUGUCCGGAUUUAUUGGGUUUAAAGGGUACGUAGGCGGGUGUCUAAGUCAGUGGUGAAAGCCUACAGCUCAACUGUGGAGUUGCCAUUGAUACUGGAUAUCUUGAGUAUAGUAGAGGUGGGCAGAAUUCAUGGUGUAGCGGUGAAAUGCAUAGAUACCAUGAGGAAUACCGAUAGGGAAGCCAGCUCACUGGACUAUUACUGACGCUAAGGUACGAAAGCGAGGGGAGC